rnacentral:rRNA from 1 species
AACGAACGCUGGCGGCAUGCCUAACACAUGCAAGUCGAACGAUGCCUCCGGGCAUAGUGGCGCACGGGUGCGUAACGCGUGGGAAUCUGCCCUUGGGUUCGGAAUAACUCGCCGAAAGGCGAGCUAAUACCGGAUGAUGACGUAAGUCCAAAGAUUUAUCGCCCAAGGAUGAGCCCGCGUAGGGUUAGCUAGUUGGUGGGGUAAAGGCCCACCAAGGCGACGAUCCUUAGCUGGUCUGAGAGGAUGAUCAGCCACACUGGGACUGAGACACGGCCCAGACUCCUACGGGAGGCAGCAGUGGGGAAUAUUGGACAAUGGGCGAAAGCCUGAUCCAGCAAUGCCGCGUGAGUGAUGAAGGCCUUAGGGUUGUAAAGCUCUUUUACCCGGGAUGAUAAUGACAGUACCGGGAGAAUAAGCUCCGGCUAACUCCGUG